CCCUUGAUAGCUCAGUUGGCAGAGCGAUGGACUGUAAUUGUUUACUUCUGGCAUCUCCAGACUAUCCACAGGUCACCGGUUCAAAUCCGGUUCGAGGGA